rnacentral:lncRNA from 1 species
AUGAACUGGAUUCUGCGACAGCUGCCCUCUUGGGGGAGGGGUUCUUCCUUCACGGGAUCCGGGCCUGAAUGCGGGGUACACAGGUUUCGGGCGCCUCACGUUGACCGGCUCCCAGGGACGCUUCAUCUUUUAGCCUUGGAGCUCUGGUUACACUUUCUCUUCCGCUCGCCGGGGCGGCCGACUUCUGAAGGUGGCGGAGUCACCGGGGCGCCACAGCACGUGCGGCCCAGACGGAGGAGGCCGGAAGAGAAGACACUUCCGCUCUCUGAACACGGCUUUUCUCGGCUUUUCUCGACUAAGUUCGCCAGCGCGUUAGGGGACUGGCCCAGUUGGCGGCGUGAAACUACCAAUGGGCGUGAGACUAAGUGUAAGCAUCUGUAAAAUGAAAGAAGCCACACCCACCUGAGAAGGUUCAAGGAAGGACUAAAGCUCCAGAGCGGACAUGUACUGGUCACCUCCUAUCAGUCCCUUGAUUUUAAGCCGGGGACUCUCCCGCUCCCAGCCGUGUAUCCUGAGUGGGAGACAUCAUCUCUGCCUCUCCACACGGUUCCUGAUUGGCUUAGGACAGCCAAUAUGCCUUCCCCGGUCACAGGGGUAGGGCUACUGAUGGGCACGGACCUUAGAGCUGAUGGGAGGCACAGGAACGUAGGCUGGGGGUUUCUGGGAAGGAGAAACUUCUCUCAUCCAUGUGGACUUGAACGAGGAAAGAUGUCACCCCAGGAGCUGCUCACAGCUCCUCCUUGUGAGGAGCCCCUCACAGAAGGUAGGGGAAGAGUCUGCCUGAGAAUGGAGCCAGUCCUGCACGCCUCGCCUGAAGCUAGAGAGUUCCCCUGGACUGUUCAGCUAAAUGGGCCAGUAGAUCUACUUUGUUACUUCAGCCAGGUUGAGGUGAGUUUUCUGUUUCUCACAACAUCGUCAAGAUGUAGUGGGUUGCAAUUGAUUGUGGUGGGUUAAACGGUGGUCCGAAAUGAUGCGUUCACAUCUUAGCCCCUAGAACUCGUGAACGUGACUUAUUGGGAAAAAGGGUCUUUGCAGAUAUUAUGAAGUUAAAGAUCUCGAGACGAGAUCAUCCUGGAUUUUCCAGGUGCGCCCUAAACCAAUGACAGGUGCCCUGAUGAGAGACGCAGAGGUGGAGACAGAGACCAGAGUUGUGGCCCCAAAGGCCGAGGCACACCCAGAGCCCCCACGAGCUGGGAGAGGCAAGGAGGUGUCCUCCUUUAGAGCCGUCAGGAAGAACAUGGCCCUGCCGACACCUCGAUCUUGGACUCUGGCCUCCAGAGCCCCAUGAGAGAAGAAAUGUCCAUUAUUUUAAACCACCUAGUCUAUGGUUAUUUGAUACACUGAUCAAUGUGCAUUUACAAAUAUUAAUGUCCUCAUCUUUGUGUACAUUUAACUUCUUUCCGUGACUUUCCCAUUCACCCUCCCUAAAAGGGCUGAGGCAGUCCAGCCUCAAGUUCAGCCUCAAGCCAGGCUGCCUUGGUUACAUACCAGCUUGGCCACUUCCUAGCUGUGUGACUUUAAGCAAAUUACUUACCCUCUCUGUGCCUCAGUUUCCUCCCCUGUAAAGUGUUUUUAGUAGGACUCAAUGAGUGAGUACAUGUCAGUGCUUAGAGUAGUGCCUGGCGCGUAGCAAGCUGUGCACAUACGCAGUGGCUGUUAUGUAUUCUCCCCUGUUCUUGGGUGAUUUCCUUUCCUCAUCAGAAUGCUGCUUCUUCAUGGUAAUGAGCCCGGUUUUGUUCCUGACUAGAUUUUUAAAAUUAUUAUUAUUUGUGAUUCAGUCACCUCAUUAUGCUUUGAGGCCAUUAAACUGGGGGAAAUGUCACUCAAAAAAGUAUGAACACACUGAGUCCGGUGGGAUCUCCCUAGACAGCCAAAGUUAAUGAUUAGGAAAGUCAAAAGUCUACACCAUUAGCAAAACAGAAAGACAAAGAGCCUGAUUUAACUAAUAAGCUGUUCAAUACCAUGGCUUCUAAUUGACGUUCUCUAGGCUUCCUUUUGAAAUGCUUAUUUCAAAGGGUAUAAAUAAUUUAAUUGAUUUUCAGAAUAAGUGACUUGUUUUCGGCAGGUAUUUCUGCUUCUUUGCUUUGUGGUGGGAGGAGAUCCUGGGAGAAGGAAGGAUUACUAGAUUUAAGGGCCCCUACGACUAUCCUGUUUUCCAAAUUUUAAAGACAACAUUUGUUUUUCAAAUAAACAUUGUUUUCCUUUCUUCA